UUGAAAAUUGCCCUUCAUGGCAAUUAACAAUCUAGCUCGAUGCUCGUUGUUUGGUCGGAUAACUACCAUGGAUCCAACAAAAGAGUAUUUGGGUAGCCUAGGAUGAUUUAGGUAGGUCUUGAUUGUCCCUAGAGAUGGGGGUAUGGUGAUAAUAGCGUUGGGUGGUAGGCUAAGGUAUGUGUUGGAUGGUUGGUAGAAAAAAAUUUUGCAUAUAAGGUGUUAUGGUGCAUGUGUGGGUUUCUAGGUUGCGUUNAACGUGGACGAAGAAAUGAAGUGUUAGAUGGGUGCAUAAGGAGAGGGGUGUUGGAGGUAUGGAUGUUGGAUUGUGUUAGGUUAAAAAGAGGAAAGUAAAUGGUUUGUGGGGUUUGAAUGUGUGAUUUUUAGAGUAUAAGGCUUUAAUAUUUGAGGUAGUUUUGGAGGUGGUCAUUUGAGAGGUGUAAGGUUGUGGUAAGGGUUGUUUUUGUUGUGAUUGGGAUUUUUAUGGUGCGGGUUGAAGUGAUGGUGUUUUGUGAACCGAGGGAAAAAGGGGUAGACUUUUUGCCUCGCCUGUAUACGCCUCUGUUCGGGAACCGGUGCCUAUGGACGAAAAUACCCGUUGUUGUUUCCCUUGACUACACUAGUGAAGGGGUGUUGGAGGUAUGGAUGUUAGAUUGUAUAUUAAGUAAAAAAGGGGGUAAGUAAAUGGUUUGUGGGGUUGGCUGUGUGUUUUACGGAGUAGAAGGCUUUAACGCUGGAGGUAGUGUUGGAGAUGGUCAUUUGAGAGGUGGAAGGUUAUGAUAACAGUUGUUUUUGUUUUUAUGGGAUUUUUAUUGUAGGGGUUGAGGGGAUGGUGUUUUGUGUUUAGGUAGUGAAAGUGGACGAUGAGGACUUGUUUGUUUUGGAAAUGAGGUUUGAGGUGGUGGCAAUAAGUCUCGAGGAGGAGAUUGUUGAGGUUGGAUGAGGAGCACUUGGUCAUCAUUUGAGCUAGGUGUAUAACUGCUUCAAGAAGCGUUCGAUAUGACUAUGUGAUCUUAGACGCUUGUUUGGAAGAACGUCUAGUUACAAUCUUCUGUUUCUUAGGAGCAGGUUCAGUAAUUGUACGUAGUUGCAUUAGACUAUCAUGGGCGUUUAAAAACAAGUCCAUCAUAAGAUUCUUGAGACGCUUCAGGACAUACACAUCCAAUAAAACACACCUUUUCCUUCUUAGCUUUCUCUCAAACAGCCACAAGGUGAGAGUGUUUAGGAGAAUCGGAGGAGUAAGAGCGUCUAGCUCAGGUAUAUCUCCAACGUCAAUUUUAUCUAAAAAUUACAAAAUUGUCAUUGGUUAUUUUUAACAUUGAUUCUUUGUUUGCGUAAUGUUGAAUAGGUGAUAUGGAAAACUUAGAAUAAAACUUUAAAUGAGAUUAAUUUUUAACCUAAUCCUAGAUUUUAAUAUCUAAAUAAUCCAUUUAUGAACUCAAUUUUUAUAAAUUGGGUACAAACAAUUACAAAAUAAAAUGGACAAUUAUAUAUUUGAAGAGAAAUGUUUCAAAAGGAAAAGUUAUACAUUUAGAAUUUGACUU
rnacentral:lncRNA from 1 species